UAUGACUGCAUUAGUUCAAACAUUCUCCCCUCGUACAACAUGUAUGCCUCCCCCCAUUUUAUCACAUGGUACAUUCCAAAUGGAACGGCCAGAAAGAGUCCGACAACUGUCGUCUGCAGUGGGUCAGUUGCAGCAGGCUACCUGUGCACAAUUCUGCCGUUUGCAAGACUGUUGGAAAUCCUAUAAACUGACUACGCCACGGAUGAAACUCGAAGUGCUUUUUCAGGCAUGGAUCCUACAACAGUUGCAGUAUUGAAAGCUGCUAAUAUUAGCACAGAAUUGCUUCCCAGUCUGUCUAAGGAGGACUUGCGUGACCUCUUUCCGGGGCCUGAGCACUUUUUCCGAAGGAAAGCCAUUUGGAGGACCACUCAUGGUGAAAAUGAGUGUGAAGAACUGGAGCAGCCUCACCCAGGCACCUCCUCUGGAACUUAUGAUGGUGCCACAAUUCCAACUACCCCAAACGCUUUGUCCACUCCUUCUUCCUUCCCUGCACCUGUCCCCUCUUCAAAGCCAGGAGACAGUGCCAGCAGAACUGUACAGCUUCAAAGUCCACAAUAUGUUGUAUACACAGACACAGAGCUGGAGCUGUCAAGAACCACCUUUUUUGAAAAACAGCGUGCUGGACAAGAAGAAGACUUCACACUCUCCAAAGAGCUUCGCUGUCGCAUAAUAAGGAACACAGUAACAAGCAUGAUCGCCAUAAAGAGAGCUGCAGGGGAUGACUUCCGAUAUCCAAGUAGCCGUGAGCUAAC